GAUGCCUUUAAUCUAGCCCAAUUACACCUAUUUCCUACCCUACUCCCCACCCUCAAAAUAAACCAUUCUAAAUUUUAAGUAAAUGCGAUUGAAAAAGAACUUGGAGCUUUACAAAUAGUACCGCAAGGGAAAGAUGAAAUAGAAAUUAAAUAAAUACUAAAGCACAAAAUAGUAGAGACUUCAACUCGUACCUUUUGCAUCAUGGUCUAACUAGUCUAGUCAGGCAAAGAGAUCUUUAGUCUGAUCCCCCGAAACUAAGUGAGCUACUCCAAGGUAACCUUAGAGUUAACCCGUCUCUGUGGCAAAAGAGUGGGGUAACCUUUGAGUAGAGGUGAUAUACCUAUCGAACUUAGUGAUAGCUGGUUACUCAAGAAACGAAUUUUAGUUCCUUCUCAAGAGGACUUAGCUAAUAUUUUAUUAAGCAAAUUUAACCUCUUAAGACCUAUUCAAUUAGGGUACAGCCUUAUUGAAAAAGGAUACAACCUACAACUCAGGUUAACGUUUCAAGACCUAGCUCAAGUGGGCUUAAGAGCAGCCACCUUUAAAAAAGCGUCAAAGCUUCCUCUAUUGUCUUCUUCAAUUUCCCAAUCUUUACGGAACCCGAUACUAUUAUUGAGUCCUUCUAUAUCUUUAUAGAAGUGUUUAUGUUAGAACUAGUAACACAGAACUACUUCUCUCUAUGUAAGUGUAAAUCAGACCGAAUAAGUCACUGAUAAUUAUUCAGUUGUGAAAUAAUUGUAGUAACCUCACUAGAAAACCCUACAAUCUUUCACUGUUAACCUAACACAAGAACAUUUGAGAAAGAUUUAAAGACGAGGAAGGAACUCGGCAAAUUUAAGUCCCGCCUGUUUACCAAAAACAUCGCCUUUUGCACACUAUAUAAGGUAAUGCCUGCCCAGUGACUAUAUGUUCAACGGCCGCGGUAUUCUAACCGCGCGAAGGUAGCGUAAUCACUUGUUUCCUAAAUAGAGACUUGUAUGAAUGGCUACACGAGGACUUAACUGUCUCCCUCGUCUAAUCAGUGAAACUAAUC
rnacentral:rRNA from 1 species